rnacentral:rRNA from 1 species
UGAUGAAGUAAUUGCCUUGACGCUACACUACCGAGAAACAAUGGCGUAACCUUUGAAGCUUAGCUGACCGUACUGGAAACCGACACAGGUGGGCUGGGUUAGUAGCCUAAGGCGUCGGGGGAACUCUCCUCAAGGAACUCGGCAACUUGACCCCGUACCUUCGGAAGAAGGGGUGCCCAUGGAGGUUGUAGUUUUUCGGCGAAGGCCUCCGUGGGUCGCAGAGACCAGGUGGUGCCGACUGUUUACCAAAAACACAGGACUACGCAAACUCGAAAGAGGACGUAUGUGGUCUGAAACCUGGCCAGUGCUCGUAGGUUAAGAGGCGGGGUGCAAGCCCCAAAUCGAAGCCCGGGUAAACGCCGGCCGUAACUAUGACGGUCCUAAGGUAGCGAAAUUCCUUGUCGGGUAAGUUCCGACCUGCAUGAAUGGUCCAACGAGUGCCACGCUGUCUCGAGGAGAGACCCGAUGAAAUUGUGAUGCCGGUCAAGACACCGGCUACCCACGGCAGGACGGAAAGACCCCGUGAAGCUUCACUGUAACCUGACAUUGGACUUUGACCUAUCCUGCGCAGGAUAGGUGGGAGGCUAGGAAGCCCCUCUUUCGGGAGGGGUGGAGCCGCCGGUGAGAUACCACCCUGGAUAGGUUAGAGUUCUAACCUUAGCAAGUGAGCCUUGCAAGGGACAGUGUCAGGCGGGCAGUU